UACAGAGGAUGCAAGCGUUAUCCGGAAUGAUUGGGCGUAAAGCGUCUGUAGGUGGCUUUUUAAGUCCGCCGUCAAAUCCCAGGGCUCAACUCUGGACAGGCGGUGGAAACUACCAAGCUGGAGUACGGUAGGGGCAGAGGGAAUUUCCGGUGGAGCGGUGAAAUGCGUAGAUAUCGGAAGGAACACCAGUGGCGAAAGCGGCUUCCUGGUCCAGCACCGACGUUCAGGCACGAAAGCGUGGGGAGCAAAAGGG
rnacentral:rRNA from 1 species